rnacentral:rRNA from 1 species
GACGAACGCUGGCGGCGUGCCUAACACAUGCAAGUCGAACGGAAAGGCCCUGCUUUUGUGGGGUGCUCGAGUGGCGAACGGGUGAGUAACACGUGAGUAACCUGCCCUUGACUUUGGGAUAACUUCAGGAAACUGGGGCUAAUACCGGAUAGGAGCUCCUGCUGCAUGGUGGGGGUUGGAAAGUUUCGGCGGUUGGGGAUGGACUCGCGGCUUAUCAGCUUGUUGGUGGGGUAGUGGCUUACCAAGGCUUUGACGGGUAGCCGGCCUGAGAGGGUGACCGGCCACAUUGGGACUGAGAUACGGCCCAGACUCCUACGGGAGGCAGCAGUGGGGAACAUUGCACAAUGGGCGGAAGCCUGAUGCAGCAACGCCGCGUGCGGGAUGACGGCCUUCGGGUUGUAAACCGCUUUCGCCUGUGACGAAGCGUGAGUGACGGUAAUGGGUAAAGAAGCACCGGCUAACUACGUG